rfam:Ochotona princeps cont2.74762, whole genome shotgun sequence.
CUGCCUUACACAAUGGAUACACUUGGCGCCCCACCACACCUAAAGCCACACUUUGAAGGAUCUGCCAAGCUCACUUUUAAUCAUGAGAAAGAAAUUACCCACAUGGAGUCAGCAGAAAAUGAGAAAGUGGAGCUCGUGCUGCGAAUAAUCCUGCAAGUGCCAAGGGGCUAGUUGAGGAAUGGCUUCAUGAGG